GAUGAACGCUGGCGGCGUGCCUAAUACAUGCAAGUCGAGCGAAAAGACGAGGAGCUUGCUCCUCUGACGUUAGCGGCGGACGGGUGAGUAACACGUGGAUAACCUACCUAUAAGACUGGGAUAACUUCGGGAAACCGGAGCUAAUACCGGAUAAUAUAUUGAACCGCAUGGUUCAAUAGUGAAAGACGGUUUUGCUGUCACUUAUAGAUGGAUCCGCGCCGCAUUAGCUAGUUGGUAAGGUAACGGCUUACCAAGGCAACGAUGCGUAGCCGACCUGAGAGGGUGAUCGGCCACACUGGAACUGAGACACGGUCCAGACUCCUACGGGAGGCAGCAGUAGGGAAUCUUCCGCAAUGGGCGAAAGCCUGACGGAGCAACGCCGCGUGAGUGAUGAAGGUCUUCGGAUCGUAAAACUCUGUUAUUAGGGAAGAACAAAUGUGUAAGUAACUAUGCACAUCUUGACGGUACCUAAUCAGAAAGCCACGGCUAACUACGUG
rnacentral:rRNA from 1 species